UACGUAGGGUGCGAGCGUUGUCCGGAAUUAUUGGGCGUAAAGAGCUCGUAGGCGGUUUUGUCGCGUCUGCUGUGAAAUCCCCGAGGCUCAACCUCGGGCCUGCAGUGGGUACGGGCAGACUGGAGUGCGGUAGGGGAGAAUGGAAUUCCUGGUGUAGCGGUGGAAUGCGCAGAUAUCAGGAGGAACACCGAUGGCGAAGGCAGUUCUCUGGGCCGUAACUGACGCUGAGGAGCGAAAGCGUGGGGAGCGAACAGG
rnacentral:rRNA from 1 species